GCGUUGGUGGUUCAGUGGUAGAAUUCUCACCUUCCAUAUGGGAGACCCAGGUUCAAUUCCGGGACAAUACA
rnacentral:tRNA from 1 species